AGUGAACGCUGGCGGUAGGCCUAACACAUGCAAGUCGAACGGCAGCACAGUAAGAGCUUGCUCUUACGGGUGGCGAGUGGCGGACGGGUGAGGAAUACAUCGGAAUCUACUUUUUCGUGGGGGAUAACGUAGGGAAACUUACGCUAAUACCGCAUACGACCUACGGGUGAAAGCAGGGGAUCUUCGGACCUUGCGCGAUUGAAUGAGCCGAUGUCGGAUUAGCUAGUUGGCGGGGUAAAGGCCCACCAAGGCGACGAUCCGUAGCUGGUCUGAGAGGAUGAUCAGCCACACUGGAACUUCGACACGGUCCAGACUCCUACGGGAGUCAGCAGUGGGGAAUAUUGGACAAUGGGCGCAAGCCUGAUCCAGCCAUACCGCGUGGGUGAAGAAGGCCUUCGGGUUGUAAAGCCCUUUUGUUGGGAAAGAAAAGCAGCAGGUUAAUACCCCGCUGUUCUGACGGUACCCAAAGAAUAAGCACCGGCUAACUUCGUG
rnacentral:rRNA from 1 species